rnacentral:tRNA from 1 species
GAGUGUGUAACUCACUGGUAGAGCGCAGGCUUUCAAUGCAUGAACUCCUGGGUUCAAUCCCCAGUACCGCCA